UACGUAGGGGGCAAGCGUUGUCCGGAUUUAUUGGGCGUAAAGAGCGUGUAGGCGGCCGUACAGGUCAGCUGUGAAAACUCGAGGCUCAACCUCGAGACGUCGGUUGAAACCGUACGGCUAGAGUCCGGAAGAGGAGAGUGGAAUUCCCGGUGUAGCGGUGAAAUGCGCAGAUAUCGGGAAGAACACCCGUGGCGAAGGCGGCUCUCUGGACGGUGACUGACGCUGAGACGCGAAAGCGUGGGGAGCAAACAGG
rnacentral:rRNA from 1 species